rnacentral:rRNA from 1 species
AACAAACGCUGGCGGCGUGCCUAAUACAUGCAAGUCGAACGGGGAAAGCUUUCGGGUGAGUACUAGUGGCGCACGGGUGAGGAACGCGUGGAUAAUCUGCCUUAGAGUGGGGGAUAACUAGUCGAAAGAUUAGCUAAUACCGCAUAAGACCACAGGAGCCGCGGCUCAAGGGGUCAAAGGUUUUUCGCUCUAAGAUGAGUCCGCGUAAGAUUAGCUAGUUGGUGAGGUAACGGCUCACCAAGGCGACGAUCUUUAACUGGUCUGAGAGGAUGAUCAGUCACACUGGAACUGAGACACGGUCCAGACUCCUACGGGAGGCAGCAGUAGGGAAUAUUGCACAAUGGAGGAAACUCUGAUGCAGCGACGCCGCGUGAGUGAUGAAGGCCUUCGGGUCGUAAAGCUCUGUCGCAGGGGAAUAACACAAUGAAUGUACCCUGUAAGAAAGGAUCGGCUAACUUCGUGCCAGCCGCCGCUGUAAGAC